GACUUCUCAGGAGACUACCAUGCCGGUUGGUUUCUAAGCGUGAGCUAUGAGUUUUACAAUCUGCAGAUUCGAAACUUCCAGCUGCCAAACUCAGAUUUGAGUCUUCUCCCCACGCAAGGGGUCAGAGCUACCGUGUACAACAGUUACCUGUACCUCCAAGGAAGCUGGAAAGUGAAAAAGGGGUUCAUAACCCUCGAGGGUACCUUUGAUGUGAAGGUGAGUGACAUUUUCAUCUCCGUUUCUCUGAACUUGGCCAAGGGCCCAUCUGGCCGGCCCAGAGCCUCCGUGUCAAGCUGCAGUAACUCCAUUGGCCACAUUAGUGUUACCAUCUCUGGACACUUAAGGUAAGUGACACCCCCAGCCCUGCUGGACCUUGUCAGUUCCUCUAGUCCAUGCUGGCCCAAGUGCAGGAUUGAAGAAGCUUCCCUAUGAGCAGUGGGGUCCUGGGUGCUAUGAGCCAGGC